CUCUCUGACAGGCGAGAGGAAGACAAACGGCGGAGGAGAAAAAUGGGACAAAGGUCAAAUAUUUCUGUCUUUUCUCUCUGCGGUUCCCAUGUUUCACCUCAGGUUUUCAUUUAGUUGACGGUUUGUUCCACCGCGGCUGUGGAUGAGAAAUAAAGAAUCGUCUUUUCGCCUUCCAGCGUUGAGGGCAUGCGCAAAAUUUCCAGAUAUGGUGGUCCAGGCCCGCCACCCGCAGGAUUUUUGGGAACUCAUCCAUCAUUUGGUUAGCAGAAGAAGAAGAAGAGUCCUCCAGGUGGAGUGUCAGGAAGUGAGCUCACGUGGAGGCGGCUUCCUGUUCCCUCCUCAUGGUAAACCUCCAGAUGCUCGCUGACGAGUCGUGUGAAAGUUUUCCACUGACACUUUCCACCCAGUCUGACUCAGCUGUUUCACAAACCAGUCAGUGUUACAUCAUCCUCUGUCAGCUCUAUCAGUUUCACUCCAUUAAAGAGAAAAAGAGCUGGACUGAAGCUCAGCAGUACUGCAGAGAGAAACACGGCCACAGUGACUAACAUGAAGGACUUUAAGAGACUCAGUAUCUCACCAGGAGAUCAGAGUGAAGCUUGGAUUGGACUGUCUGAUCCAACAAAAGGUAAAAGUGUGAGUGUGUGAAUACUUUUGAAAGGUUGUUUGAAAGGCAACGUUACUCCACCGGUGGGAUAGCUGGCUGGGUAGAGAACAGACCUCCUCCCGUUGGUUUCCAAAGAGAUACAAAGACUUGGCUCUCUUUUGGAAAUGGAGAGAGCGAGAUGGUUUGACAAGAACCAAAAGCUGACCUACAUCCAAAGAGAACUGGAGGACACAAAAACUGAGGUACAGAGGCAGAAAACUCUUAAGAAGAUUUUCAUCAACAGGAGCAGAGAGUUGAAAAAGGAACUACAGGCAGUAAAAACAUUUAACAACCCAGAGACUCUCAGCCCCGCUGUUAUCGCUUCAAAGGUGCACAGCUAAAUAAGAGACAUGACGAAAAAGCAGCUGCCAGAGGACUUAGAGCAACUGAAGGUAGCUCAUAUCGUCAAUGAGGAAGCGUUCAUGUCACAGAUUAAGGCAGAAAAAGAAAAAACUAACGCCCUCCAACAAGAGCUGGACCACAUCAA